rnacentral:rRNA from 1 species
CCUACGGGAGGCAGCAGUGGGGAAUAUUGCACAAUGGGGGAAACCCUGAUGCAGCGACGCCGCGUGAGUGAAGAAGUAUUUCGGUAUGUAAAGCUCUAUCAGCAGGGAAGAAGAAAGACGGUACCUGACUAAGAAGCCCCGGCUAACUACGUGCCAGCAGCCGCGGUAAUACGUAGGGGGCAAGCGUUAUCCGGAUUUACUGGGUGUAAAGGGAGCGUAGACGGCUGUGCAAGUCUGAAGUGAAAGCCCAGGGCUCAACCCUGGGACUGCUUUGGAAACUGUGGAGCUAGAGUGCUGGAGAGGUAAGUGGAAUUCCUAGUGUAGCGGUGAAAUGCGUAGAUAUUAGGAGGAACACCAGUGGCGAAGGCGGCUUGCUGGACAGUAACUGACGUUGAGGCUCGAAAGCGUGGGGAGCAAACAGGAUUAGAUACCCUUGUAGUC